UACGUAUGGUGCAAGCGUUAUCCGGAUUUACUGGGUGUAAAGGGAGCGCAGGCGGCACGGCAAGCCUGAUGUGAAAGCCCGCGGCCCAACCGCGGGACUGCAUUGGGAACUACCGGGCUGGAGUGCCGGAGAGGUAGGCGGAAUUCCUAGUGUAGCGGCGAAAUGCGUAGAUAUUAGGAGGAACACCAGUGGCGAAGGCGGCCUACUGGACGGUGACUGACGCUGAGGCUCGAAAGCGUGGGGAGCAAACAGG
rnacentral:rRNA from 1 species